GUUGGCAGAUGAUUUUAACUUUUCCCCAGUAUCUUGCUAACGAGAAGGGAAGGCUUGGUAGUACACUAACCUGGUAGACUGGCUGAAGAGCUUGUGACUCGUAGCUAGGGUAGAUUUCUUGAAGUAUAAAAAGUCUCCCUUAUGGAGCUCCAUUCUUUUGGAAUACAACAUGAACUUCCUAGGUAUAAGACUUAAAAUCAGUGUAUCCCAAGAACAGGGCUAAGGACUGAGUCACAUAAAACCAAGGCUUGAAGAUUUAUCAAGUACAGAUACUUCACUAUUGGUGAGGGAAAAGCCCAGUGCAUUGUCACAGGGUUGUAGAGAAACAGAGUAGAAUGUUCCAGAAUGGAACCUUCUGAGAGUUCCUUGACAAACACCUGGUUUUCAUCCCUUCUUAUUCAUUUCUGACUUAUUCUUUCCUUCACUCAGUUUUCUAAUCAUACAGAAAUCCUCUUGGGAAUUUAGAAAACUGUUGUGAUUUACCUAGGAAACUGAUGCAACACAAAGAAUAAACUCAGGGAUCGAACUUGGGUCCUUGCACCUGUGCAGCAGGUGGCAAAACCAAUGAGCUAAAUCCCCGGCCCUUGUGUUUUAAUUUUCUUCUUCUUGCUCUAAAUUUCAAAAGUAUCAAUUGGAAAAAACAAAUAUAAAGGUAACGUCCUAUCUCUCAAUCAGCCAAUUCUGUUCAAGUGAAACUUGCUUCAGUAGGUUAAAUUCCUUAUAGUUCAUAAAAAUAAUCACAAAUAUAAAGUUUACUUUAAAUGGAAAAAUGGGGUCAUGCUAUACCAGUCAUUCUGCAAAAAUAAUUUUCAUGUAAUUUAUAAAGUAAAUUCCUCCUGGCUAUUGCACAGAUCUACCUCCUAUGAGGUGCAAAACAUUCCACAGUAUGUAUACACAAUUUCUUUUCAAAGAUCUUAUAUUUUUUUGCUGUUUUUCUUGCCACAAACCACCCACCAUUAUAUACAUCCUUACCUAAUGUUACUUUUAUUACCAAAAUUGGUCCAAAAAAGUGUUAUCACUCUCCCCCUUUUCAUUUAUGUAUUUAUUUUAACAGGUAUUAUCAGAUUUGGUUCCUAGAAGGCUGAAAUAUUUUAUAUCCUAUCAUAAAUAACUGAGUGUUGGAAUUCUUCCAUCCUCACAGGUAUUUGACACUGUAUUUGUUAAGUUAACAGCUACAAAAUGGUGCUUCUCCAUUCACUACUGAGGGUGAGCUUCUUUGCCUACUAAAUAAAGGUCACUUCUGUAAAUUUCUCAUUUUUAAGCCUUAUGCACCACUAUGCUUUUUUUUUCCAACCUGAAGGUAUUCUCUACAGGAAAAAUUACAUAUCACUGGCUUUAACUUCCUUU